GUGCCAGCCGCCGCGGUAAUACCAGCACCCCGAGUGGUCGGGACGAUUAUUGGGCCUAAAGCAUCCGUAGCCGGUCAUGCAAGUCCUCCGUUAAAUCCACCUGCUUAACAGAUGGGCUGCGGAGGAUACUACAAGGCUAGGAGGCGGAAGAGGCAAGCGGUACUCAGUGGGUAGGGGUAAAAUCCUCUGAUCCAUUGAAGACCACCAGUGGCGAAGGCGGCUUGCCAAUACGCGCUCGACGGUGAGGGAUGAAAGCUGGGGGAGCAAACCGGAUUAGAUACCCGCGUAGUCC
rnacentral:rRNA from 1 species